AAAAGCAACUAUAAAAUGGGAGAAAAUAUUUGCAAAUAAUAUACAUAAAGAACUCUUUCAACUUAAAAGCAAAAAAGCCCCAAUCUAAUUAUAAAUUGGGUAGAGGAUCUGAAUACACAUUUCCCCAAAGCAUCCAUACCAGUGACCAACAGGCCCAUGCAAAGUACUCGAUAUCACUAAUCAUUAAGACAAAGCAAAUCCAAUCCAAAACUGACAUAUCACUUUACACUUGUUAGGACGGUAUUAUCAAAUAGACAAGAAAUAACAGGGGUUGUUUUCAGGGAUGUGACAAAAAGAACCCUUAUGCGCUAUAGGAGUGAAAGUAAAUUGGUGCAGCCACUAUGAAAAACAGUGUGAAAAUUUCUCAAAAGGAUUAAAAAUAGACAUAUCACAGGAUCUGGGGAUUCUACUUUUGGGUAUUUAAACAAAGAAAAUUAAAACACUAAUUUGAAAAGAUUGUUGCAUCUUCAUAUUCAUUGCAGCCCUAUUUACAGUAGAGAAGAUAUGGAAACAACCUAAGUGUCCAUCAAGAGAUGAAUGGGUAAAGCAAAGAAGGUAUACAUACAUCAACAAAAAUUAUUUAGCCACAAGAAAGAAUGAAGUUUUUCCAUUUGUGACAACAUGAAGAGAAUUUUAGGACAUUAUGUUAAUUGAAAUAUGUCACAGAGAAAAGGCAAAUUAGAGUGAUCUCACCUAUAUGUUGAACUAAAAAAAAAACCAAAAAACAAAACAAAAAAAAAACCAAAACCCCUAAAGAGCCAAACUCACAGACACAGAGAAGAGAUGGGUGAUUGCCAAAAGUGGGAAGUUGGGGGUGGUAAAUGAGUCUGAUGUGUAUAUAGAAAAAUUAAAUGCAGGUGUUGAAUUAUGUCAAAUAAUAUUUUAUGAUUCUAUGAAGAUGGUCAUAUUUCUUGCCUCCUUCUUUAACUUAGUAUGAUAAAAUGCAUUAAUUAAUUCUUAAAUGUUAAAAUAACCUUGCAGUCUGGGAGUAAAUUCCAAAUAGUCAUGAUGUAUUGUACUUUUUGAAUAUCACUGAAUUCAAUUUGAUGAUUUUUUCUUAAGAAUUUGACAUCUGUCUUUAUAAGAGUGACUAGUCUGUAUAUUUCUUUUGGUUACAGUGUCCUUGUUAGGUUUUCAAAUAAAGGUUAUCCUGGUCUCAUUUUUUACUUACAAA